CCCAAAAAACAAAAUUAUAUAUAUAUAUAGAGAGAGAGAGAGAGAGAGAGAGAGAGAGAGAGAGAGAGAGAGAGAGAGAGAGAGAGAGAGGUACAUAUAUAUACAUACUAAACACUGUGCAGGUUAAACAUUAAUACAAUAAAAUGCCUCAAGUCAUCAAUAACUUAAAUUAAAGAGGUAUUAUACAUCAAUGUACUGAAAUACUCUGAAUGUUAAACUAUAUGUGUUUGUAAACACAUGCUUAUGUAAGCCUAUUACAUCUUGUGGAAUGUUGGAGAUGAUAGGAUGUUCCUUGCCACCAAAACUGUCUGGUGGCUACCAACAUAAGGUAAACUCUGGAACUUCCUGCCUGCUUCGUAUUUCCACUUUCCCAUGACUUGAACUCUUUUAAGAGGGACAGAGGACACUUAUCCUGUAUUUUUGACUAACUCUUUUGACUUUGUUUGGGGACCAGCACCUCAGUGGGCCUUUUAUUUAUUUUUUUUUAUUGUAAUUUUUGUUGCCCUUGGCCAGUGCUCUCCUACAUAAAAAAAAAAAAAGAAUGCAAUGGCUCUUGUACUUUAGCAGGACAUUGCUAUGUUGUUGCUGAAUACCAAUUUACCAUCUCUGUUAGCAGCAUGGUAACUUGGUCCUCAUUAGUGGGACUAACUGGUAAGUUUCGUAAAUCCAGGCCCGAGGGACCUUAUUAACAAAGAUUCUCAGACUUCAGCUUAGACUUGUGCUUGUCUCUUAAGAGUUUUUAAGGCCUUGGCUGAGACUAACUCUUAAGUUCCACUGUGAAAUGGUGAAAGAACAAAACAGUAAAAUUUUAAAAAUAUUGAUUUCGUGCUUUUAAUGCAGUUUUUAGCAGCUGUGUGGUCAAAAAAUAAUAAUAUAUUUUUUUAUUUCUAUUUUCAUAGAUAAAUUAGAUCUCAUGUGAGGCACCAGUAUUUUAUCUCAUUGUUUACAACUUGCCCUACCAAAUUUGAUCAGCACCUCUCUGAUGCCAUUUGCCUUAGUAAUACUGAAAAUGGAGCAACCUGCAACUGAAGGCAGUCAUAAAGGAAGGUUGCAGGAUAAAUUGCACUUCCUACAGCCAGUGCAUAAGCACAAACCAGUGUUGAAGGGCAAAUUCAGCCCUUCAUUUACAUACUGCCACAAGAGGGUCACUUGGGACUCAAUAACCAAGGAAAUAAAUGAGCAAGAACAGGAAGUUGGAGGAGGUGGAGGAAAGAUGGCAGAACAUAAGACCCUAGGCCAUGAAGGAUGACUUUGAAUAUAGGAAAGCCUUAGUGUAGACAGGUGAGUUGAUCUGCAAUUCAAUUGAAUCUUUAGAUUGGUUCUGCAAUAAUCUGUUGUACUGGCAAUUUUCACUUCAACAAAUGAUGGUGGUAAUUCUUCAAAGUGUUGUAUCCUCAUUUUCACAGGUAGUGGCCCUCCUUCCAAACAGUCAGAUGACAUAACUGAGCUUAUUUGGGACAUUAUGGGGAGGGACAGUGUGUCUGUUGAUGGGGUUGUGAUGGAAGAGGUGGGAGAUACAACUGCUGUGCACCUGAGACUUGAUGCCAUGGCUUCAACUUCUCAGGCUACAGAUGAGGUGGAUCAUCCACAUAUCAUCACUAUAGAUGAAUGUGUGGUUGAUCCACCAAGACCUCCCACUUCCACUCACCAUCCACCACCAGUGGUCCACCCACCACCUUUGCCACCUCCACCUCAUCAAUUUCCUUCUGGCAACCAGCAACACUGAAACAUCUGCUGCCUCACACUAUGGGUGAGGUAUUGAACACUAUGGGCAAGGUAUUGAUGCCUAUGUGGCACAACUUGCCUUCUUAGAUAUCUCACCCAGCAAGUAAAUGAAUCUUUUUUAUAUUAUUUUAAACACACACACACACACACACACACACACACACACCUAAAAAAAGCAUUUGAUGAGGUACCACACCAGAGACUGCUAUGGAAAAUUCAAAAUAUAGGGGGUUUGCAAGGAAACACACUGAAUUGGAUUACAGACUUCUUGAGGGAUAGAGAAAUGGGAACAGUAAUAAAGGGAGAAAAAUCAGAAUGAUGUAGAGUUACAAGUGGAGUACCACGGGGGACAGUCUUAGCCCCCGUAAUGUUUCUGGUGUAUGUCAACGAUAUGGUGGAUGAGGUUGACAGUUAUAUAAGUCUGCAGACGAUGCAAAAUUAUUGAAAAGAGUGGAAAACAUUAUGGAUUGUGAAAUAUUACAGAAAGAUCUAAAUAAGAUAUAUAAAUGGAGUAAGAAAUGGGAAAUGGAAUUCAAUGCAAAGAAAUGCAAGGGGAUGGAAUUAGGAGAAAGCAAAAGAAGAUUGACAAGUUUCUACACCAUGGGAGAAGUGGAAAUUAAGAAAACCAAAGAAGAAAAGACUUGGGAAUUACAAUAAGUAAUAAUUUAUCACCAGAAAAACAUGUAAACAAAAUAGUUGAGGAAACCUAUGAGUUACUGAGAAAUGAAAGGGGCACUUGCUUACAUGGAUAAAGAGAUGAUGAAAAAGUUGAUGGAAUAUGCGAUUCAACCAAAACUGGAAUAUGCCACAAUUGUUUGGUCAUCCCAUAAUAAAAAGGAAAUAAGGAAAAUAGAAAGGAUCCAAAGAGCUGCAACCAAAUUGGUACCAAGUUUGAGAGAUUUAACUUAUGAAGAAAGAUUAAGGAGAUUGAAGCUUCCAUCAUUACAAGAGAGAAGAGAAAGAGAGGACCUGAUUGCUAUAUACAGAGCUUUAAAGGGUAAGGAUAAAGUUGACAAAGAAGACUUAUUUGUGUGGGACUCAAGAGAUACAAGAGGACAUGGAGUGAAAUUGAGGAAAACAGCAAGUAGAAGAGAUGUCAAGAAGUAUGGUUUCCCAAAUAGAAGUAUAGAAAUAUUGAACAACUUAGAUGAAACAGUGGUACAAGCAACAAAUUUUCAUGAAUUUAAAGUUAAGCUGGAUACUUAUAGAUAUGGAGGCAGGACAGCAUGAGGAUAGUUCUUUUCCUGUAAAACACAACUAGGUAAAUACACUCAUACUAGAGUCAUUGUCAAAUAAACAAGAAGUGAUCCAAGCUCCAGCAGAGAAAGAUUUUGCUUGACCACGGCCACCACUAGGAGCCUAGAAUGUGUUCCCAGGUAGGAGCUGUGCUCAAGUAGAGUUGUCCUGUCUUCAGAAAUAAAAUAAAAAAAAAUUAAAUAAAUAAAAAAAUAAAGGAAAAUUUAAGUAAUAAUAGAUGUAAUAAAACGAGUAAAAGCUCCAGCAAGGCGGACGCCAUAGGUGGGAGCAAAAUGUUCCCAACGGGGUCACCAUUCCCAGGAUUUUAGAAAGACACUGAACUACAUAGAAAAAUGCAAGGAAGGAAAGUGGUUUUAAUGGAGGGGAUGAUCAGUGACCUCACUGAAAGAGUGAAAAAAUUUGGAAAAAUGCAAGGAAGGAAAGUGGUUUUAAUGGAGGGGAUGAUCUGUGACCUCAUUGAAAGAGUGAAAAAAUUAGAAAAAAAACAUGACCUGGAGGAGGAAAACAAAGAAUUGAAAACACUAUGUGCCGAUCUAAAGACAAAAUUGAAGGAAAACAAUGAUAUUGUUAAAAAACAGGAAAAUGAAGUGAUAGGGAUAAAAGGUAAACAUCAAAUCUGGAGGAAGAAAAAAAGAGGAAGAAAAGUUAACUUUACAGAAAUCAUAGAAGUGCAAAAGAAGGAAAGACAGAUUUAAGUAAGGAAAUUGUGAAAGUGAUCAAACAGAAGGAAUCGAUGGUAAGGGACACAGUGGACAAAAAAGAAAUGUUGUUAUAUAUGGAUUAAAAGAGGAAACAGCCAGUAAGAUACAAGAGGGAAAAGAACAAUAAAAGGUAGCAGAGGAUGUUGUAAGAAAUAUACAGAGAAGGUGAGGACUGGAUAAGUGAUAUUUAGGAAAUACAUAGACUGGGGAAGUAUACAGAAAGUAAAAUUUGGGGCACAAACAACAGCCAUGGAAGUGAUAUUGUAUAUGUGGAAACUGAACAAGACAGAGCAAUACAGGAAAGUUUGGAUAAAGAGGGACAUGAAUGAGGAGGAGACACUCAAGGUAAACGAUCUAAUAAAAGAAGCGAAGGCAAAAAAUGAGAACAGAACGGAGGAAGAGAAAAAAAAGUUCUAUCGGAAGGUAAAAGACGAGAGGCUAAGGAAGUGAUAUCUGACAGAAAAAAAAUAGAAAAUGUAAAUAAAGUAUGGAAAAAUAUAAAGUGGACAGUGGCAAUUGAAUAAUUAUAACAAGAUAAAGCAGCCCAACAUUAUGGGUAUUACUGAAGUUAAACUAAAUGAGACAACAGAAAAUAUAAGAAUUGGUAAUAGUAAUUAUAAUGUGUGGAUAAAACAUAGAAAUAAUAAGAAAGGGGGAGGAGUCAUGUUACAGAGAAGAGUAUAACAGUGGAAGAUGUCGAAAUUGGAGAAGGAAUGGCAGAAGUAAUUAGAAUUAAAACAAAAAGGAAGGGAGAAGGAAGAAGAGAUUUUACAGUGGCUUAUGUACCCCCAAAGACGAAUGCAUGAACACAAGAGGAUUAUAAAUUACUGUUAAGAGAUACUAGUAAGUGUUUGGAGAGAUUACUGGGGGAGAGUAAUGAUAUAACACUUAUGGGUGACUUUAAUUGCAAGAAGGUAUGCUGGGAAGAGUGGAUUACGGACAGAGGAGAAGAGUCAUGGGGAUAUAUGCUUCUAAAUUUAAUAACGACAAAUACUAUGACCCAAUGCAUUGGGGAAAAUACAAGAUUUGGGGGUAAUAAAAAGGCAUCAAGGCUAGACUUGUUGUUCGCAAAGAAAAUGGACAUCAUUGAAGAAAUAAGUUAUCAGUGCCUAUUAGGUAAAAGUGAUCAUCUGGUAAUUGAAUUCAGUAUAGGCAGUGGUCCAAUAGAAAAUAGGAAUGAAAUUUACAAGAAUGGGAGAUGUAAUUACAGGAAAGCAGAUUUUAUCAGGUUAAGGGAAUGUCUUGCAGAGGCUAAAUGGAAACAACUGUUCACGGCAAAUAAUUCACAGGAAAAGUGGGAUAUAUUCAUGGAAAGUUAUAAUGAAAGGGUCAGUAGAUAUGUACCAAAGAUCAAAACAAAGGAAGUAAAAAAGAAAAAAGACUGGUUUAAUACGAGAUUUAUAACGGCAAGAAAAGAAAAAGAAGCAGCAUGGAAUAGAUGGAGAGAAAAAGGAGGAAGUGAGAAAUGGGAAGAAUUCAAGAAGGCAAGAAGUGAAUAUAUCAGAAUCCUGAGAGAUGGAGAAAGGAAUUACGAGAAAGAUAUAGUUAACAAAUGCAAAGAUGAGCCGAAGUUAUUUUUCAGAUAUGUGAAUGGGAAGAUGAAAAACAAGCAAACAGUAGAUAAAUUAACGAAAGAUGACAUUACAUACCAAGAUACACAGUUACAAGCGGAAUUAAUGAACAAGUGCUUCCAGUCAGUAUUCACCAAAGAAAGCAAAUUUGAAGGAGAAGGAGCAUGGCACAGAGACAAUGUGAUGAGAGAGAUACAGGUGGACAUAAGUGAAAUUAAGAAGAUUAUGAAAGAUUUGGAUGUAAGUAAGGCUCAAGGACUAGAUGGAGUGUAAAACUGGAUACUUAAGGAAUGUUGUGAACAACUGGCACAAAGUAUACACAAUACCAUAGUAUGUUCUUUUAAGGAAGGAAAAAUUCCUCUAGACUGGAAGAGAGCCAAUGUUGUGCCCAUUUUUAAAGGAGGUAAUAAAGAAGAUCCAUUGAAUUACAGACCAGUGUCCCUAACAAGUGUGGUGGCAAAAAUAGUGGAAAGAAUAGUUAAAAACAGAUGGAUGGAAUAUUUAGAAGAAACACAUACAUUGACUGACAGACAAUUUGGUUUCAGAAGUGGAAGAUCUUGUGUCUCGAAUUUAGUGAGCUUUUAUAGUAGAGCAAUUGAUAUAAUUCAAGAGAGAGAGAGAGGGUUGUGUUUUAUUUAGACCCAAAAAAAAGCAUUUGAUAGGGUGCCACACCAGAGACUGCUAUGGAAAAUUCAAAAUAAAGGGGGUUUGCAAGGCAACACAGUGAACUGGAUUACGGACUUCUUGAGGGACAGAGAAAUGAGAACAGUAAUAAAGGGAGAAAAAUCAGAAUGGUGUGGAGUUACAAGUGGAGUACCACAGGGGACAGUCUUAACCCCCAUAAUGUUUCUGGUGUAUGUCAAUGAUAUGGUGGAUGAGGUUGAUAGUUAUAUAGGUAUGUUUGCAGACAAUGUGAAAUUACUGAAGUAUAUGAGACUUAACGUAGGUCAGUUGAAAUGUGCUUCGGAUUUUGCGAGGCAAAUCACCUCUGCUAGAUGGGAGCUUUCACAUGAGACACGCUGCGCUUCACCACACUGUCAGUCUUUAAAGAGUACAACCACCCACAUGAAUCAUCACCUCCCAACCACUCAAGUCUGGAAAUUGUCAUUGGGAAACCCAAGAUCCACCACUUAAGAAAGGGAGGGAGCGGAGGGCAUGUGAAAGCUCCCAUAUAGCAGAGAAGAUUUGCCUCACAAAAUCCGAAGCACAUUUCAGCUGACCUGCGGUAAGUCUCAUGCACUUCAGUAAUUUUACUUCAGCAAAUCACCUGUCUGCUAGAUGGCGCUGUCACAUGAGAUUUUAAAGUCAUGUGGGUGUUGUAUCCAUCUAAUCCUGUCAAAUGCCACAUCAUGUAAACAGGUGUAAAGAAAACUCCCUAGAAAGAGAGCCCAAUCUUCAUUAUGGAAACAUAACAUUACCCUCACUGAACAUAAUAAAUCAAAACAUGUAUAACCCAACAUAACAUAUACAUAAACAUGAAUUACACGGAACCCAGCACCGCCUCUUGAAAUGGGUCUGUGUCCCGGAGUAUAUCCUUAUUAUAAUGCCUAGCGAACGUGGCCUCCCGCGUCCAACCAGCCUUGGCCAUGAUAGUGGCAAUUAGCAUGGCCAGCACCUUGGCCAUAGAUGCUGAGUCAGAUCUAACAUUACCUGCAGUGAACCUUGUGGUGUCAAUCCCACACCUAUUUAAUGUUGUCUUGAGCCACCUGGCCACCGUGUCUUUAGAAACACUCCUAUGAGGUUUUAUGUAACUGAUGAGUAGUUUCCUGUCUGCAUUUCCAAAUUCUGUCUGGAGCUUCUCAGUUCUCUCUAUAUAUUCCUUCAUGGUCAUAAAUACACACAGCCUGUUAUCCUGAGUAAAAGCUCUAAACUCAGUUGUCCGAUGUUACCCCCUAACAAAACUGAAACGGAGUCUUCUCUAAAGGCAAUGUUCCUCAGGGACCGUAGGAGGCGAAAAAUCGAAAAAAUCUGGUACAUUAACGUAUUUCAGGAAAACCUAUGGCUAGCGUCACUAUGUAGGUGACUUCAUUCUCACCAAGUGUUAUAAGUGGAACUUUAGUUUUUCCUACAAAAAUUAUAAUAGAUAAAAUAUUGGCAAUAUCUGGCAACCCUUUUAAAUCCCCCACUCCUUGUUUACAUUGCCAAAAACCCAAAAUUAAUCCAAAAAUUUUGGUUUUUGGCUGAUAAACUACGUGUCUGGAGGUUGCUGGCAUCUUCUACCACCAGACAAACCAUACGUGAGCCCGUGAGCCUUUGUACACUCAGUGCCCAACAGACAGUCAGAGGGUGGCUAUAUCAGUACAGGUGGUUGCAGUUAUCACGGAGUUCUGUCCUAUUAUUCUCUAUGCCACAAUGCCAGGACGCAUUUGCAUUCAAGAGUAUGGCGAUAUUAUUCUAAAUACAAGAAUGCAAACAAGAACAUUUUGGACUUCGCUGCUGCCCAAGCUGUCAUUGACUACAAUGUUGGCUACCAGGAUGGUUUUUGUCCUUCCAUCACUUGGGGAGCCUUACACUCAUAUUCAGCAGUCUGUCCUUGUGAGAAUGGACAAAUUACGUGAAAAGGAGUUAAAGGCCAAAGAAAACAGGGUUAAAUCCCCCGUCCUGUAAAAUUCAAGUUUUUGUUCUAUUUUUGUGUACUACUUCUUUAUUUAUGGACCGUUUUUGUUCAUUUUAUCUUGUUUAAAAGAGUAAAGGUUACUCUUUAAUUUUGCAAAACAAAUUUUUAUUUUGCUUAUUGGGGGAUUAAUUGUGAAUUUAUUAUUACGUUAUUAUUACUAAGUUGCCAAAUUUUUGUUGUUUGCAUGAAUAAAUUCAUAUAAAAUCA